UAGUAUGAUUUACAGUAACAGGAUUACAAAUCAAUAAUCAAUCAAUCAAUCAAUCAAUCAACUCCAGUUGACUGCCUCCUAUCGCUCUGUAGGUCUAUGUUGUGUCAUCUGUAGAGGCUGAAAAAAGUAACCCCAUUUUGACAAAGCAAGCAGAAGAAAGGUCUGUUUUCAAACGUAAAGAGUAUAAAUAAAACGUCGUCAGAAAAUAAAUUCUCAAGUAAAGUUUUUUGUUUGUUUGUUUGUUUGUUUUAAUUCUCAAGUAAAGUACAGCGAUCCCACCAGAUAGUCCUUCCAAUCUGCAGUUUCAUUUGAGGUUGAUAGAUGGCGGUAAUGCACCCUUAACACAGUUGCCACUAGUAAAUCAAAACAGAAAAUGUUUUGCUCCCCCCCCCCUUUUUACACACUCUUUAUUGAACAAUAUGUCACAUAUACAUUCAGGAAAAACAAAAAUGUUUCUCGUUUCUCCUGUAAAUAUCAUGACGUCAUCAUCCUGCUGCAGGCGUCUGAGAGUUCAUUGCAGUCUGCAUUAUCACAAAAAAGCGAGCAGAUAUACAGAGCAUGCUGAAAAUGGAUCUUCUGUGUUGGGGCAAUGGUGAGCUGGGUCAGACCGGACAUGGGAGACGUGGGGACUUCAGCCCAGAGGAUGCCAUCUGGGCAAAUUGAACCUUUUGGCAUGUGGAUCCACUCAUUCUAUCGUGGUUACAGGCCUGUCUGUUCCUCUUGCUCUUUCGCUAAAAGAUGGACGUUGUUUCCAGGAUCUGCUUUGGAAAUGGUAUCCUGUGGAGCUCUAGGAAGAAGUGCCCUCAUCUGGCCCUUUUGUCUGUCAUUAGGUACCUCCAAACAUUUUAUCCCCAGACCUCUGGGACCUCAAACUGCCAAAUGGGUUGAAUUAUGGUCAGUUAUGUGGAGUGGACCUUGUGUUAUAAGGGAGAGAGGCCUGAGUCAGUGGAACAAACCACAGUUCUCACUAUUAAGAGGCAGUCUGAUACUUGCUCAACCAAACUGAGGCUCCCAGUGGGAGGACGCCAAGUAUCCUACAAUUGAUCUACCAAUGGAAGCACCCAUUUUGUCCACAUUAUUGGAAGUAUUGCAGGAUUUUGGUUGAGUGGCAGGUACACCCUAGUUGCCAGUCAAUCACAGGACACAUACUUAAGUCUACACAACCCUGUUCAAAUGCCAGGUUUUUGUGAUAUAGAAAAAUGAGAAAUCAGUCACUUCAAAACAUGUUCAACCAUUAAUGUGUUAAAAAAAAUUCUGGGGGGAAGUAGCAAUAAACAACGAAGAUAAUGUGGUUGCACACGUGUGAACAACCUCUUGUAACUGGGAAUUUGGCUGUGUUCAGAAAUAACAAAUCAUAUGCGAACACACACCUUCCACCAUUUAAAGUACCUCUGAUUAACUCCUAAUAAAGAUGUUCUAGUAGACUUUUCCCAAAAAUGUUGUAGUCACUUCUUUACAGCACAACCCAUGCAUGGUCCGCAGAGAGCUUCCACAGCAUCAGAAGGAUCUCAUUGCUCAAAGUAUCAG